GAGAAUCAAUAGAUCGAUUUGGUUGUGAUUGUUGAACCCGGAUCCGACAACAGUCGGACCCCACCCACCUUCUGCUUUCCCCCUCCCCUCUCCUCCCAUGGUGGCUUCCUUCAAUUCGUCAGAGUGAUCGAGCGAGAGAGUGAGAGAGAGAAAGAGGAGAUUGUAAAUUCAUUAGCCUCUUGAUAGUUUCAUUAAUUACAGGUCUCUCUCUCUCUCUCUCUCUUCUUUCUCUCUCUAUACGUAUAAUUCAUUGUUUGUAUUGUUAGAUGCAUUAUUUUCCCAAUUCUCUCUCUACGAGUAUAAUUUAUUGUCUGUAUUGUUAGAUAUAUCUCAUUAUGUAAUGAAAAGAAGUUUUCAAAUCCAAAUUAUAUGCAUUAUCUUCCCCAAUUUUUUUGUUUUCAUGCUUCUUUUUGAUUUGAUACAUUUAGCCAUUUUUUUAUGGGAAGAUUCAUUUGAAAGGGUAUUUAUUUCUUCUUUUUGUUCCCUUUUUGGUGAAUUUUGCAUGAUUCCAAAUUUUCAAAUUAUUAUAUCUAUUGCAUUGACAUAAAUUAUUGUACUUUUGGUAAUAUUUAUUUGUAUGUCUAUACGUAUGAGAUAUCUGUGUCUUGAAUUCUAUUUUAUGUAUUUUGGGUUUCAUGAGGUUGGCAAUUAAUUCUCGUGAAUUGCAAUAAUUAUUUCUUUCUCAUUUUUUUGAGUUUUGUCAUUAUAUAUUAUGCCAAUAAAAACAUGAACAACGAUAAAAAAACACAAAAGAACAAUGUAUUUUAUAUAAAUGAAAGAUUUCGGGCAAAAAAUGUCAAGGAGAAUGAUUAUUUUUGCAUUUAUACUCUCACAACGCGUUGAAAAUCAUCCAUUCUUGCAAACUAUAGCUUUGGUAUUUUUUUAAAAGAAUAAUCAUUUGUUAGGGACCAUUUUACUCAUCACGCUUUCGUCUUAUCAUACAUUUGAGUUAUUUGAAUAUUUCCAUUGAAGAGGUUCAUUUAUGUCAAAAAGUUCUUUCAGAAUUGGAAAUUUGAACCAUGUCAUUGAUGUUUAUCGCAGAAUUCUUGUGUUAGGAAUCCUGAUAUCGGCUUUGUUGGAAUAUUUUUGCAGCUUGUUAAGUUAAGGUAUGUUUUUUUAUAUCCAAUGGAGUUUACAUAAAGUAAUACCACUGUUGUAGAAAUUGAUAUUUCAAAACCACCAUAUUUUUCAUAAUGUACUAAAAAAGUUUCCUCUAUGGCCCCUUUAAUUACUCAAGACUCGAUAAAUUUUGUAGGGGAUAUUUUCAAUAAUAUGAAUGAGGACAUUAAUGUCUUUUGCACCAUAUAAAAGAUCUAAGGCUAAAUAGAUCCCACUUUAUUUUUGUACCAAAAUAAUUGGCAUGUUCUAUGGACAUCAAUCUCGUUCUUAAUCACAGUCCAAUGCACACCAAAAGUGUGGUAAAGCCAACAAUCUU
rnacentral:lncRNA from 1 species